ensembl:lncRNA
CCUUCAUUUACGGUAUUCCAUGUUGACACUCAACUUCGCAGUGGUUUUACUUGUUUAUAUAGCCGUUCCAGUAUAUUUUUUACAUUUAGCAGAUGCUUUUCAAACUAAGCGACAUACAUCUCAGAGAAAUACAAUGUAUGUAUUACAUUAGGAGAAAGAGACAUAGCUGCAGAUGUGUGAUUCUACAGUUAGUCUGAUCAAGGGUAGUACAACAGGAGCGGGAUUCGAACCUGCACCCUUCAGAUUACAAGCAAGGCUUCCAUUUGCAUAUAAGUUUAUUCAUUUAGCAGACGCUUUCUCUAAAGUGACGUACAUCUCUGAAAAUACCAUUUGUGCAUUACAUUACAAGAAGGAGACAGUUGCAGGUGCAGUCGCUUCAGCGAGGAUCCAUCAGCCUGCCCUUGUUUUAGGCAUAAUACAUUAAAUACAGCAAACAACCAGUGCUGUCUUCUGCGGAAGCAUUCAGGGGCAUCGGAGAACGAGGGACAGAGCAGCACUUCCUCUCUGUCCUUCGUCUUCCUCCGUGUGCCAUCCUUCUCUACCCCGGCUGGAUCUAGACUGCGGCAUAGUGCCCCCAGCCAGGAGUCUAAUGCUUGUCGAGGAUGAGUCCCGCGAUCGAGGCGAUGCAGGCAGAGCAGCAGCACUAUUCCAGCAAAGGGGUCCUGCUUGAACCCUUUGUGCACCAGGUGGGGGGUCACUCCUGUGUGCUUCGCUUUGGGGAGCAGACUAUCUGCAAGCCCCUCAUUCCCCGGGAGCACCAGUUCUACAAGAGCCUCCCAGCCGAGAUGAGGAAGUUCACUCCCCAGUAUAGAGGUGUGGUGUCGGUGAGCUUCGAGGAAGAUGAGGAGGGAAAUCUGUGCCUCAUCGCCUACCCCCUGCAUAGUGAGCAGGGGGGCUUGGAGAACGUGGACCCCACGGCGGACCUGGAGCCCAAGCACAAGGUACUGAAGUGGACCAACAAGAAGCCAUCUGCCAUGAUGCUGGACAACGAAAACUAUGGCAAGGACAGGCCCAGGCACGGGCGCAAGGACGAAAAGAUCAAAACCCACAACCGUGAGGAGGAGCUUGAGCGGCUUCAGCAGGCCGACGUGCUUUACUAUAGCCUGGAGAAGAGCAAUGCCGUGCCACAGGUAAAGCACAAUCCCUGGAGCCUAAAGUGUCACCAGCAGCAUCUUCAGAGAAUGAAAGAGAAUGCCAAGCACCGCAACCAGUACAAAUUCAUCCUACUGGAGAACUUGACAUGGCGACACACAGUACCCUGUGUGCUGGACCUAAAGAUGGGCACACGUCAGCAUGGCGACGAUGCCUCGGAGGAGAAGAAGGCCACUCAGAUCCGCAAGUGUCAGCAGAGUACAUCGGCCACCAUAGGUGUCCGACUGUGUGGAAUGCAGGUGUACCAUUCUGCCUCUGGGCAGCUCAUGUUCAUGAACAAAUACCACGGACGCAAGCUGACACUGGCAGGCUUCAAGGAAGCGCUCUUCCAGUUUUUCCACAACGGCCGCCGGCUGCGACAUGAGCUGCUGUCCCCAGUGCUGCGGCGGCUACGGGAUAUGCAAGCGGCGCUGGAGGCCUGCGAGUCCUACCGCUUCUACUCCAGCUCGCUGCUCAUCAUCUAUGAUGGUGAGGCAACGCGCACUCGGCGCCCACGCCACAAUGGUAGCAAGGAGGACGACCUUUCAGAGGAGGAAGAGGAGGGUGGCGCAUUUGGGUUUCCCUGCAGUGGUGCAGCGGCAAGUGGGGGAACCUCCAUUACUGAAGGGAGCCCCGUGGUGGACGUCCGCAUGAUUGACUUUGCUCACACCACCUGUCGGCACUAUGGGGAGGACAGCGUGGUACACGAGGGCCAAGACAGCGGCUACAUUUUUGGUCUUCAGAACCUCAUCACCAUCAUCUCCCAGCUGGAGGAGAAUAGUGCCGACUAGGUCCGCUCUCACUCUGUGUUACUGGUCAAUAAACAAUAAUAAAGAUCCA